AAAACCUUUAAUUAAGUCCAGAGAGACUUUCAAGGUUACUGUAAAAAAGAGUUUUAACUCUAAUAAAAGGUAUGAGUUUGCUUUGGUGUACUCUGCUUAUUUUGCUGUAACCUUGCCUUCUGGCGAGGUUUUUUUUGU
rfam:Streptococcus gallolyticus strain ICDDRB-NRC-S1, complete genome.